GCAGUCGAGCGAAUGGAUUGAGAGCUUGCUCUCAAGAAGUUAGCGGCGGACGGGUGAGUAACACGUGGGUAACCUGCCCAUAAGACUGGGAUAACUCCGGGAAACCGGGGCUAAUACCGGAUAAUAUUUUGAACUGCAUGGUUCGAAAUUGAAAGGCGGCUUCGGCUGUCACUUAUGGAUGGACCCGCGUCGCAUUAGCUAGUUGGUGAGGUAACGGCUCACCAAGGCAACGAUGCGUAGCCGACCUGAGAGGGUGAUCGGCCACACUGGGACUGAGACACGGCCCAGACUCCUACGGGAGGCAGCAGUAGGGAAUCUUCCGCAAUGGACGAAAGUCUGACGGAGCAACGCCGCGUGAGUGAUGAAGGCUUUCGGGUCGUAAAACUCUGUUGUUAGGGAAGAACAAGUGCUAGUUGAAUAAGCUGGCACCUUGACGGUACCUAACCAGAAAGCCACGGCUAACUACGUGCCAGCAGCCGCGGUAAUACGUAGGUGGCAAGCGUUAUCCGGAAUUAUUGGGCGUAAAGCGCGCGCAGGUGGUUUCUUAAGUCUGAUGUGAAAGCCCACGGCUCAACCGUGGAGGGUCAUUGGAAACUGGGAGACUUGAGUGCAGAAGAGGAAAGUGGAAUUCCAUGUG
rnacentral:rRNA from 1 species